rnacentral:rRNA from 1 species
UCCUACGGGGGCAGCAGUGAGGAAUAUUGGUCAAUGGGCGCAAGCCUGAACCAGCCAAGUCGCGUGAGGGAUGACGGUCCUAUGGAUUGUAAACCUCUUUUGUCGGGGAGCAAGGCCCGCCACGUGUGGCGGGAAGGAGAGUACCCGAAGAAAAAGCAUCGGCUAACUCCGUGCCAGCAGCCGCGGUAAUACGGAGGAUGCGAGCGUUAUCCGGAUUUAUUGGGUUUAAAGGGUGCGUAGGCGGGAUUCCAAGUCAGCGGUAAAAAUGCGGUUCUCAACGCCGUCGAGCCGUUGAAACUGGCGUU